AGAUGUGGGAUCUGGUUUUGACAUCUGUCACUCCUCUGUCAGAAGUUCUGAUUUUAUUUGACUUAGCGAGUAGGAAAGGCGGCAGCUUCUUGCUUCACUGAUCCAUGGCAUGUGUGGCCUUCCUCAAACCACAUGCUAAGGCAAAGAAGUUGAUCUUCUAAAUUCUAUCUGGACUCUUCUUUGGUCAAAGGUAUCUGAAUAGCUGAGUUACUUUAAUAGAAAGUGUUAAUAUGGAAUUACAAUUUGAAGCAGCCCAAACACUUAUUUUUACAGUUGAGAAGAGACUCUCACAUGGAGAACAUGCUGUC
rnacentral:snRNA from 1 species